GACGAACGCUGGCGGCGUGCUUAACACAUGCAAGUCGAACGGAAAGGCCCUGCUUUUGUGGGGUGCUCGAGUGGCGAACGGGUGAGUAACACGUGAGUAACCUGCCCUUGACUUUGGGAUAACUUCAGGAAACUGGGGCUAAUACCGGAUAGGAGCUCCUGCUGCAUGGUGGGGGUUGGAAAGUUUCGGCGGUUGGGGAUGGACUCGCGGCUUAUCAGCUUGUUGGUGGGGUAGUGGCUUACCAAGGCUUUGACGGGUAGCCGGCCUGAGAGGGUGACCGGCCACAUUGGGACUGAGAUACGGCCCAGACUCCUACGGGAGGCAGCAGUGGGGAAUAUUGCACAAUGGGCGGAAGCCUGAUGCAGCAACGCCGCGUGCGGGAUGACGGCCUUCGGGUUGUAAACCGCUUUCGCCUGUGACGAAGCGUGAGUGACGGUAAUGGGUAAAGAAGCACCGGCUAACUACGUGCCAGCAGCCGCGGUGAUACGUAGGGUGCGAGCGUUGUCCGGAUUUAUUGGGCGUAAAGGGCUCGUAGGUGGUUGAUCGCGUCGGAAGUGUAAUCUUGGGGCUUAACCCUGAGCGUGCCUUCGAUACGGGUUGACUUGAGGAAGGUAGGGGAGAAUGGAAUUCCUGGUGGAGCGGUGGAAUACGCAGAUAUCAGGAGGAACACCAGUGGCGAAGGCGGUUCUCUGGGCCUUUCCUGACGCUGAGGAGCGAAAGCGUGGGGAGCGAACAGGCUUAGAUACCCUGGUAGUCCACGCUGUAAACGGUGGGUACUAGGUGUGGGGUCCAUUCCACGGGUUCCGUGCCGUAGCUAACGCUUUAAGUACCCCGCCUGGGGAGUACGGCCGCAAGGCUAAAACUCAAAGGAAUUGACGGGGCCCCGCACAAGCGGCGGAGCAUGCGGAUUAAUUCGAUGCAACGCGUAGAACCUUACCUGGGUUUGACAUGGAUCGGGAGUGCUCAGAGAUGGGUGUGCCUCUUUUGGGGUCGGUUCACAGGUGGUGCAUGGCUGUCGUCAGCUCGUGUCGUGAGAUGUUGGGUUAAGUCCCGCAACGAGCGCAACCCUUGUUCACUGUUGCCAGCACGUUAUGGUGGGGACUCAGUGGAGACCGCCGGGGUCAACUCGGAGGAAGGUGGGGAUGACGUCAAGUCAUCAUGCCCCUUAUGUCCAGGGCUUCACGCAUGCUACAAUGGCUGGUACAGAGAGUGGCGAGCCUGUGAGGGUGAGCGAAUCUCGGAAAGCCGGUCUCAGUUCGGAUUGGGGUCUGCAACUCGACCUCAUGAAGUCGGAGUCGCUAGUAAUCGCAGAUCAGCAACGCUGCGGUGAAUACGUUCCCGGG
rnacentral:rRNA from 1 species